UCUUUUUUUUGUUUUGAUUGCUCAGGAUGAACGCUGGCGGUAUGCUUAACACAUGCAAGUCGAACGGGAUGCUUAGGCAUCUAGUGGCGGACGGGUGAGUAACGCGUGAGAAUCUGGCUCCAGGUCGGGGAUAACAGUUGGAAACGACUGCUAAUACCGGAUGUGCCGAGAGGUGAAAGAUUUAUUGCCUGGAGAUGAGCUCGCGUCUGAUUAGCUAGUUGGUGGUGUAAGGGACCACCAAGGCGUCGAUCAGUAGCUGGUCUGAGAGGAUGAUCAGCCACACUGGGACUGAGACACGGCCCAGACUCCUACGGGAGGCAGCAGUGGGGAAUUUUCCGCAAUGGGCGAAAGCCUGACGGAGCAAUACCGCGUGAGGGAGGAAGGCUCUUGGGUCGUAAACCUCUUUUCUCAAGGAAGAAGAAAGUGACGGUACUUGAGGAAUAAGCAUCGGCUAACUCCGUGCCAGCAGCCGCGGUAAUACGGAGGAUGCAAGCGUUAUCCGGAAUGAUUGGGCGUAAAGGGUCUGCAGGUGGAACUGAAAGUCUGCUGUUAAAGAGUUUGGCUUAACCAAAUAAAAGCGGUGGAAACUACAGAACUAGAGUGCGGUAGGGGCAAAAGGAAUUCCUGGUGUAGCGGUGAAAUGCGUAGAUAUCAGGAAGAACACCGGUGGCGAAAGCGUUUUGCUAGACCGUAACUGACACUGAGGGACGAAAGCUAGGGGAGCGAAUGGGAUUAGAUACCCCAGUAGUCCUAGCCGUAAACGAUGGAUA
rnacentral:rRNA from 1 species